rnacentral:rRNA from 1 species
AUUGAACGCUGGCGGCGUGCUUAACACAUGCAAGUCGAACGCGAAAGGGACUUCGGUCCUGAGUAAGUGGCGCACGGGUGAGUAACGCGUGGAUAAUCUGCCCUUAUGAUCGGGAUACAGUUGGAACGGCUGCUAAUACCGGAUACGCUCAAAAUGAACUUUUUUGAGGAAAGAUGGCCUCUGCUUGCAUGCUAUCACGUAAGGAUGAGUCCGCGUCCAUUAGCUUGUGACGGGUAACGGCCACCAAGGCAACGAUGGGUAGCCGAUUUGAGAGGAUGAUCGGCCACGCUGGAACUGAAACACGGUCCAGACUCCUACGGGAGGCAGCAGUGGGGAAUAUUGCGCAAUGGGCGAAAGCCUGACGCAGCGACGCCGCGUGAGGGAUGAAAAGGUUUUCGGAUCGUAAACCUCUGUCAGAAGGGAAGAAACUACGUUGUGCUAAUCAGCAGCGUACUGACGGUACCCUCAAAGGAAGCACCGGCUAACUCCGUGCCAGCAGCUGC